GGAGAUGUGGCCGAGUGGCCGAAGGCACUUCCCUGCUAAGGAAGCAUUUGGGCUUAACCCCGAAUCGUGAGUUCGAAUCUCACCAUCUCCUCCA
rnacentral:tRNA from 3 species